rnacentral:tRNA from 1 species
ACCCUGUUAGCAAACUGGUCGUAUGCAUCUGGCCUACACCCAGACAGGAAGUGUUCGAUUCACUUACGGGGUACCA